UUACCAUCUUUGUUUCUUCUCUUAAAUACUUCUUCAUUAUGUUUUUUCCACACUCUGUUGUUCUUAUUCAGUCUCUUCUCCCGACUGCAUACUGUUGCAGUCAUCUGGUUAUUUUGAAACAUCGAUAACAUAGCACUACACAUUACGCAAUUUCUAAUAUAAGCUUUAUUUUAAAUGUCUACAUCCCUACAACCCUUUAGCAAUUUCUAUUCAAUUCCGAUUAUUUACUUUGGAAUUUAGGGCUGCCAAGUUAUGAAAACCUGUAAUCAGACUCUCCCAUCCUCUAGUCUUUCUUUUAGCCGAUGAAUAGACUCGCCAAAAUCUUCUUCUUCGGCGACGGCUUGAUCAUCGUCGACAACGGCAGCAACUGAUGAAUGCUUCUUCGACCUUUGCUUUUGGGUGUACACUUUGCUCGUUUUGUUCCAGAGUUCCUCUCGUUCUACUAACUUGCCGAAAUAUUUUCACCGGUGACAGCUUGACUAUGGUGAUGGCAAUGGUGGGUUCUUUGAAACUUGGCUUUCUGCGAUGGGAGUUCUUCGACAUUGGAUGUUGGGUACAGAUCAGAUGAGUUUUUCCGUCAAAUGUUUAUUUUUUUAAUUUGGGCCCGCUUGUACAAGUGGCAUCCACGUGGCGUCCAUGUAGGAUAACAACAGGCUGGAUUAUAGGGAAACCGGCCAAAGGGCAUUGUGUAUACUACUAAAGUAUAAUGAUAUACGGUAAAUUAUAAUGUCAUUGGCACAAUUACUAAAGACUAUAAUAGCAUGGGCAACAUUUUAU
rnacentral:lncRNA from 1 species